AGCAGUCGCCACGGUAAUACGUAGGGUGCAAGCGUUAAUCGGAAUUACUGGGCGUAAAGCGUGCGCAGGCGGUUAUAUAAGACAGAUGUGAAAUCCCCGGGCUCAACCUGGGAACUGCAUUUGUGACUGUAUAGCUAGAGUACGGCAGAGGGGGAUGGAAUUCCGCGUGUAGCAGUGAAAUGCGUAGAUAUGCGGAGGAACACCGAUGGCGAAGGCAAUCCCCUGGGCCUGUACUGACGCUCAUGCACGAAAGCGUGGGGAGCAAACAGGAUUAGAUACCCCUGUAGUCCCUGUCUCUUAUAA
rnacentral:rRNA from 1 species